rnacentral:rRNA from 1 species
CCUACGGGUGGCAGCAGUGAGGAAUAUUGGUCAAUGGGCGCGAGCCUGAACCAGCCAAGUCGCGUGAGGGAAGACGGUCCUAUGGAUUGUAAACCUCUUUUGUCGGGGAGCAAAAGCCGCCACGCGUGGCGUUCCGAGAGUACCCGAAGAAAAAGCAUCGGCUAACUCCGUGCCAGCAGCCGCGGCAAUACGGAGGGUUCAAGCGUUAACCGGAUUUAUUGGGUUUAAAGGGUGCGUAGGCGGUUCGAUAAGUUAGAGGUGAAAUCCCGGGGCGCAACUCGGGCACUGCCUCUGAUACUGGCAGGCUAGAGUUUAGUAGCGGUAGGCGGAAUGUAAGGUGUAGCGGUGAAAUGCAGAGAGAUCAUACAGAACACCGAUUGCGAAGGCAGCUUACCAAACUACGACUGACGUUGAGGCACGAAAGCGUGGGGAGCAAACAGGAUUAGAUACCCGUGUAGUC